UACGUAGGGUGCAAGCGUAUCGGCGAAUUAUUGGGCGUAAAGGGCUCGUAGGCGGUCCAUCACGUCGGGAGUGAAAAGCUGGGGCUUAACCCCAGUCCUGCUUCCGAUACGGGUGGACUAGAGGUAGGCAGGGGAGAACGGAAUUCCUGGUGUAGCGGUGAAAUGCGUAGAGAUCAUGAGGAAGACCAGUGGCGAAGGCGGGUCUCUGGACAGUUCCUGACAC
rnacentral:rRNA from 1 species